UACGUAGGGGGCAAGCGUUGUCCGGAUUUAUUGGGCCUAAAGCAUCCGUAGCCGGUUCUACAAGUCUUCCGUUAAAUCCAACUGCUUAACAGGUGGGCUGCGGAAGAUACUAUAGAGCUAGGAGGCGGGAGAGGCAAGCGGUACUCGAUGGGUAGGGGUAAAAUCCGUUGAUCCAUUGAAGAACACCGGUGGCGAAGGCGGCGACCUGGUCCGAUACUGACGCUGAGGCGCGAAAGCGUGGGGAGCAAACAGG
rnacentral:rRNA from 1 species